GCACGCAAUUUGUUUAUUUGGUUAUUUUGACAAAGGAGACGAAAAAAAUUUUCUUUUGUUUUUGUUAUUUCCCUGUUCUGUUUUGUGUGAUAUGGAACUGAUUAGUUUCCUAUGGGAAGAAAAUCUAAUAUUGUACAGUUUCCCAUUCUGGAAGACACUAUCUACAUAUGGAUGUUUAGUUUUCAUUUCUUCCGGAAAGGAAUAAUCCCGUUUUUGAAGAAGUUUAAGAUGAGAAUCUGAGAUGUCACACUUAUGGUCUACCCCUAGACAGGAUUGGUUGACAUUGGCCUGGAACGCAUUAAAAUUUACAAGAAAACAGAAGAAAUACACAGACUCCUACUAGAAAAAGUCUGCAAUAAAACAACGGGAUUGUCUUGUUAUUUCAAGCAUCUGCACUACCUGACAAGUUUUAAUAACAUAGGACUGACUGAACAAAAUCCUAGAUAUGAGAGGAAAACAUAAAUAGAUAAAGUCCUUUUUCAGCUCCAGAGGAUCAAAUUAAUCAUACUCUACGAACCUUUAUUACCAGCAAAAAUGAUGUUAAUGAGCAGAUUACAUUUUUGUGCAAAAAAUAGGUGAAUUUGUAUUUUUCUUCAAAAAAUAAAACAAAGCAUUAUGAAACAA